UCAUACGAGACCGAAUCAAAAGCCUUGCUUACAUCUAGAAACACCGCAGCGAGCCUGCUGGAUUGCGUCCCGCAACACACCAUGGAGAACAGAUGAAGCCUCCAGACAACCAUUUCUUUGGAGGAAAGCCACUUGAAGAGUAGCCAAUUUCAAACUAGACGACCACCUACGCGCAAUCACUUUGUGCAGACACCGCACUAUUACCGAUGCAAUCGCGAUAGGCUGGAAGUCGGUUGGUUUCAUCGGCUUGGCGCAUUUUGGUAGAAACUUGAUCCUAGCGUCCAAGAGGUGGGCCGGUAGCGAAGCCGAGAGGUACAGUAGGUUCAGGUAACCCGUGAAUACACCUAUCGGGUAACUCUUUAUAUCCAGGGUAGUCAGACUAUUUAACCCCGGUGUAGUAUCAUUCCGCAUGGCCCGAAGGGCCCACCGGGUUUCAUCAAUCGUAAUUGGCUCCACAAGUGCAGCCAAACAUUCGCCAGAUAAUGGUCUGCGAGCAUCGCUUUGACACUAUCUGCUAAGCGCUGAAUUCCAAUACUCCAGAGUCCCAACAGGCAAUUCCUGCCCUUCACUCGACAACUCAUCCUAUGUGCCCUCAAUCAUCACUUUUGCAGCAUUCCUACGCCGUUUGACAGUGAGCCUCUGCAGGGCAGCAUAGGCGAGCCACCGACGCAGCUUACCGGACACCUUCUUUCCCCUCUUUCGCUUGGUCUGCUCCCGCAUCUCUCUCACAGGCACCCGUGGAAAAGUCGCCACCGCAUGACACGCAAGCCUCUCAGGUAACUGACUCGAGCUCACCGACCCCUCAAGGAGGCGCAGAACCAACUUCUCAAGCUCGGCCUUUCCGAGACAUGAGCGUACGGCACUGCGUAGGUCAGUAAGGAUGGAAGAGAGCAACUCCCCCAUCCAAACCUCACGGUUGGUUGCAUUCAUACGUCCAGAAUCCACAUUUUCAUACGAAUCUGGAUGAGCAAGAACCAGCGACCUUGAAGGAACCCGCACACCACGAGUUUCGACCCUCCUGAGCUCCUGCAAGAUAGCGGCCAUCGAUCUACCUGGAAAGCGGCGCCUAACACUACGACACGUAAAUUGGACUUUCUCAACACCGUCGUCGUGUCCACCCUGUAGAAUACAACGAUGAGAAGCUGCCUCGCAAGCCCCUGUCCACGUAUAACUGGUCUACUCUGGCCAAUGAACUGGUCACCUUAUGCGGAACUAAGAAGGAGUUUUACGGAAAGCUGGCCUCCAUGCUCAAGAAUAAGAGUUCAGAGGCCAUCAAGAAACGGCUCCAAUAUCUUUACUGGAAUCCAUCUUCAGAGUCAAUACUUCCAGCGGGCCGCCUCCAUGCGGAUGUUCAUUUGUGCACUCCUUUGGUCGUUCCUCCAACCCCUGAGGACAUAUUUGCUUAUAUCUGUACACAUUUACCAAGCAAAUCAAAAACUGUUAUUUAUAACUUUUCUCCAUUUGGUUGUAAAUGUAAUUCCAGGUUAUUUCUGAAAAUAUAUGAUAUCUAGUCAAAUGCCUCGUCAUCUAAUUAGUGACGCGCAUGAAUGGAUUAACGAGAUUCCCACCGUCCCUAUCUACUAUCCAGCGAAACCAAAGCCAAGAGAACGAGCUUGGCAGAAUUAGCGGGGAAAGAAGACCCUGUUGAGCUUGACUCCAGUCCAACUUUGUGAGGAGACAUGACGGGUGUAGAAUAAGUGGAGGCCAGGUCCUUCGGAGUUUGGCGUCAGUCAAAUACCACCACCGUCAUUGUUUCUUUGCUUAUUCAAUAGUGCGGGGUGCCAAUUUUGGUCCCAAGCACAUACGGGCAUGCGCGGCUUUGCUGCGGGUGUCGGUAUCCUGGUCAUGCCAGAUGAGCCGUAGCUUCGGCUGCGGUGUUUGAGUUUGAAUGUGAUGUGCAACUCGUCCUGAAGACAAUGUCAGGUGGGGAGUUUGACUGGGGCGGUACAUUUGUCAAAUGGUAAUGCAGGUGUCCCAAGGUAAGUCCGGCCAGGACGGAAACUUGACGUGGAGUAAAAGGGCAAAAGCUUAUUUGAUUUUGAUUUCCGAUACGAAUACAGACCAUGAAAGCGUGGCCUAUCGAUCCUUCUGAUUUUGAUAUUCGGAGUUUGAAGCAACCGUUCAUAGCGACGUCACUUUUUGAUCCUUCGAUGUCGGCUCUCCCUAGCGUUGUGACGCAGAAUUCACCAAGCGUUGGAUUGUUCACCCACUAAUAGGGAACGUGAGCUGGGUUCAGACCGUCGUGAGACAAGUUAGUUUUACCCUACUAAUGAGUACAAUGGAACAGUGAAGUACAAACCGGUCGUUGAUAUGGUAAUCUUGUUUAGUACGAGAGGAACCGCACGUUCAGACAUAUGGUAUAUGUGCCUGGCCGAAAGGCCAAUGGUGCGAAGCUACCAUCUGAGGGAUUAGGAGUGAACACCUCUAAGUCUGAAUCCCGUCCAGAUAUGCAGCGGCACAUUCUGUGCCUGUCACGUGGCAAGGCAAUCCUACGUAUUCCUUCCGGUGCUUUGACUGGACUAUGUGUCUGGCUAGGCCCGGUAGGUCUGGUGCAAUGCCAGAGCGAUUGACCGAAUCUGUGCUCCGGAUCUUCGGGCGCACGAUAGCGCACAAACCAAAAGAACGACCUAAACCCACCGACAGAAGAAACGUCAUUUACAAAAUCCGAUGCAAGGACUGUGGACAACACUGCGUCAGCCAAAUCGGACGGAAAUUAUCGACACGAAUACAUGAACAUGAACUGGCCAUCAAGAAGCACGAUCAAUUUUCCCUGAUCUCCGUCCACGAAGAUAAAACAGGAAACGCCUUCAACUUGAUACCGCAGAGAUCCUUACCCAGGCAAAUACUAAACAUGCAAAAGAAUCGAAGCUUGGUAUUCAUCAACCGGGUCACUAAACAAACACAUCGAGCUGAACAAGAUCUAUGAACCAAUGCGAACCAAGGAUUUGAAGAGACGUAGACACCAUCAAACGGAGUAACUUGAACUGAUCAGACCAAAGUCAAAAUAGGACAACAGAUAACCAAUCGGAGAGAAAUCCAAAACGAAGAGAUGACACACUCAACCAAUUCACGACAAAUCCGAUUUGAGGUAAAAUGCGGUAGCGACACAAGGAGAAGCCAAUCAGACUCCACCUCAAGGACUUCGGGGAACAACCAAUCGGACAUCGGGUCAAAGUUCAAGUGUAACAAAGUCAACCAAUGGUGAAUCAGGUCAAAGGCCAAACACGACGGAAAGCGACCAACCAGAAUUCGGGUCAGUAGGUCAACUCGCUCUGCUACAUAAGAGCAGACAUCCAUCGAACUUCACCAAACCCCACGGUCAAAACUAUACGCUGAAACACUUAUGCACUGAUGACGUCAACUCGAUUGGUGAUGAAAUAUUUGCAACCCAAAUGCCAAGCUCGGCGAACAUACUAAUGCCAAGACCAUCAACCGGAGCUACAAACAACAACACCACUGUUUCCAAACAUCAGAAAAAGCCCGUCUAGUCAAAAUAACAGUGAACAACGUACACCCGAUCAGUCAAUAAUCUAAAUCGCACAGACGCAAAUGAAAAACGUUCACGUAUUCGGUACAUGCUCCAACCCAACCCUCUAACCAAUUCUCUAGCCCAUCACGGAAGUUUGCAACAUUAGCAAAUACAAACCGCAUACACGCAAGUGAACAAUUGUUCACCUGUUCAGUCCAUGUUCUAUCACUAUCUUCUUAUUCACUUCACUAGUCCAGCGACAAUGUUUGCACGAUUUGCAACCACCAACAACAUACACGCAAUUGAACCAUGUUAACUUGUUCAGUACACAUUCCAAUCCCAUCGUCCCAUUCACUUCACUCAUCCGUCACAAACAUUACCACCAUUUGCAAUGACCAACCGCACACACGCAAAUGAAACAUGUUCACUUGUUCAGUCCAUGUUCCAACACUAUAUUCCUAUUCAUGUCACUAGUCAAUUACCAAUGGGUGCAGCAUUUGCGAACACAAACAGCAUACACGCAAUUGAAACAUGUUCAACUGUUCAGUUCAUGUUCCAAUCAAAGGAUCCUCUUCAAACCACUAGCAUAUAGAAAACCUUUGCAUCAUUUUUAAACAAAAACCAUAUAUACGCAAUUAAACUGCGAUCAAAUAUUACGCCCAUCCUCCUGCACCAUCAUCCAAUACACGUCUAUAAUCCAUCGAAAACGUUUGCACCAUUCGCAACCACAAUCCGCAUACACGCAAGUGAAAUCAUCAUCAUCAUCAUAGACAGCAAUACAUCAGUGAUUCACACCAAUGCUUAACUGCCACAACGCACAACGCAAGUGAAACAUGCUCCCUUGAUCAGUCCAUGUUCCAAUCCCAUUUUACUAUUCACACCACCAGUACAUUACUAAUGUUUCAACUAUUCGCAACCAGAAAACGCACGCACGCGAUAGAAUCAUGCUCACCUGUUCACUCCAUGUACCAACUCUGUCCUCCAAUUCAACCCCCUAGCUCAUCGAAAACGUUCGCAAGAUUUACAAUCAAAACCCGCAUGCACACAAAUGAGCCAUGCUCAUUUGUUCAAUCCAUCUUCCAACAUUAUAAAACUAUUCAAUUCACUAGUCAAUCACUGAUGGUUGCAGCAUUUGCAACCACAAACCGCAUACAAGCAGUUGAAAAAUGUUCAACUGUUCAUUACAUGUUCCACCUCAAUCCUCCAAUUCAAAACAGUAAUACAUCAAAACGUUCGCACCAUUCGCAACCACAAUCCGCAUACACGCAAGCGGAACAUGUUCACUUGUUAAGUCCAUGUUCAUGCAACCAAACAUUGUUCCCUUGCUCAGUCGAUGUCCCAAAUGUCUCCAAAUAUUCAACUCACUAGCCCAUCAAUCAUGCUUGCACCAUUUGCGACCACAAACCCCAUACACGAAUUCAAACAUGUUCACUUGUUCAGUCCAUGUGCCAACUCCAUCCUCCUACACAAUUCAUUAGACCAUGACUAAUAUUUGCACCAUUUGCAACCACAAACCCCAUACACGCAACUGAACCACGUUCACUUGUACCGUCCAUGUUCCAAUCCCACGUUCCUAUUCUAAUCACUACUCCAUUAACAUUGGUUCCACCAUUUCCAACCACAAACCGCAUACACGCAAAUGAAACAUGUUCACUUGUUAAGUCCAUGUUCACAUUCCCUUCACUAGUCCACAAAAAUGUUUGCACAAUUUCCAACCACAAACCGCAUACGCCCAAUCGAACCAUGUUCACUUGUUCAGCCCAUGUUUCAAUCCCAUGUACCUAUUCAAAUCUCCACUACAUUAAUAAUGUAUGCACCAUUUGCAACGAGAAAACGCACACACGCAAUUCAAUCACGUUCAAUUAUUCAGUCCAUGUUCCUAUUCAAAUCGCUACUACAUUAGUAUUGCUUCCACCACUUCCAACCACAAACUGCAUACACGCAUUUGAAACAGGAUCACUUGCUCAGUAUAUGUUGCAGCUCUAUCUUCCCACUCACCCCAAUAGCACAUUACUAAUAUUUGCACCACUUGCAACCACAAACCGCAUGCACGCAACUGAACCACGUUCACUUGUUCAGUCCAUGUACCAAUGCCAUGUUUUUAUUCAAACCACUAGUAGAUUAAUCACGCUUGCGCCAUACGCAACCACAAACCGCGUACACGCAAUUCAAACAUGUUCACUUGCUCACUCCAUGUUCCUUCGCAAUCCUCCUACAAAAUUCACGAGACUAUGACUAACAUUUGCACCGUCUGCAACCACAAACCGCAUACACGCAAUUCAAACAUGUUCACUUGUUUAUCCCAUAUUCCAACCUUUUGCUCCCAUUCAAAUCAUUAGUAGAUUACAAAUCUUUGCACCAUUCACAACCACAAACAGCAUACACGCAAGUGAAACAUAUUCACUUGUUAAGUCCAUGUUCCAAUCGCAUGUUCCUAUUCAGACCACCACUCCAAUAAUACUGCUUCCACCAUUUCCAACCACAAACCGCAUACACACAACUGAACCAUGUUCAUUUGCUCACUCAAUGUUCCAAGCCCAUGUUCCAAUUCGAAUUACAAUUCCCGUGU
rnacentral:rRNA from 1 species